rfam:Trichobilharzia regenti genome assembly, scaffold: TRE_scaffold0046050
AGCUAGCUGACGAGUCCGAAGUAGGACGAAAUGCGCAUCCUGGAU